rnacentral:lncRNA from 1 species
CGUGUUGUACUCCCCCCAGGUUUGACCCCAGGACUCCCCUACCCACACCAGACUCCCCAGGGCCUGAUGCCCUAUGGUCAGCCCCGGCCCCCGAUCUUGGGCUAUGGAGGUAAGUACAGGAGGGAGAUGAAGGGGCUUGGUGAGUGUGUGGCUUUGGGAGAAGAAAACAGAGGAUGGAAUUGAGGACAUAGUUUUGCAACUCAACACUGAUCUCUGUCAUAGCUGGUGCUGUCCGCCCUGCAGUCCCCACAGGAGGCCCUCCAUACCCCCAUGCCCCGUAUGGUGCUGGUCGAGGGAACUAUGAUGCCUUCCGAGGCCAGGGAGGUUAUCCUGGGAAACCUCGCAACAGGAUGGUUCGUGGAGACCCAAGGGCCAUUGUGGAAUAUCGGGACCUGGAUGCCCCAGACGAUGUUGAUUUCUUUUGAGCCGUCCCCCGUUCCUCAGUCCUGUAUCAUCCAUACUUGUACUACCUUGUCCUAUGAAGCUCUGAGAAUUUUUUGUACGAUCAGCCUUACUGCUAAUAAAAGCACUUCCACAGGG